rnacentral:rRNA from 2 species
GGGUUGUGAGGUUAAGCGACUAAGCGUACACGGUGGAUGCCCUGGCAGUCAGAGGCGAUGAAGGGCGUGCUAAUCUGCGAUAAGCGCCGGUAAGGUGAUAUGAACCGUUAUAACCGGCGAUACCCGAAUGGGGAAACCCAGUGUGACUCGUCACACUAUCAUUAACUGAAUCCAUAGGUUAAUGAGGCGAACCGGGGGAACUGAAACAUCUAAGUACCCCGAGGAAAAGAAAUCAACCGAGAUUCCCCCAGUAGCGGCGAGCGAACGGGGAGGAGCCCAGAGCCUGAAUCAGCAUGUGUGUUAGUGGAAGCGUCUGGAAAGGCGCGCGAUACAGGGUGACAGCCCCGUACACAAAAGCGCAUGUGCUGUGAGCUCGAUGAGUAGGGCGGGACACGUGGUAUCCUGUCUGAAUAUGGGGGGACCAUCCUCCAAGGCUAAAUACUCCUGACUGACCGAUAGUGAACCAGUACCGUGAGGGAAAGGCGAAAAGAACCCCGGCGAGGGGAGUGAAAAAGAACCUGAAACCGUGUACGUACAAGCAGUGGGAGCCCCACCACCAAAGCAUUUGCUGUACCGCGUUGACGGAGCGAAGCGACGUCAAACCGAUAAAACAGCA